UUUUAAUUCAUUGCCAAUCACACCAAUGACAGAGUCUAUCUGGGAUCUCCUCACAGUUUGUGAUCGAGAAAUCUGAGAUCGAUUCUUUGCGUCUUCAUGCACCUGGCAGGCAAACGCCGGAGUGUUUCUUCGCACUCGUCAAAUCUGCUGAGGAAACGGCACGUAAUCACGAUCGUGAUGAUUUCUCCCCGUCUUCAGAAGUGGGGAUGCAGAACGAGGAGUACAUCUGAUAAUUGGCCUGUCAGCCUCUGAAUUCAUGCUUGACUCUAGAUUGUGUCCAGCAUGUACUCUGGAGACUGCUGUGCGCCUGUGUGUUCGAGGGGUAACACAUCAGACGGCAGCAGUCAUACGCUGGAGACCACCACCUGCAUUCUAAGGCUUGGACUUCAUACAUCAUUAUUUCAAGAGACAGUUUCACCACUGAAAUUCUACAAAGAUGGCUGACUUGAAAUGCUCCUAAUUAUGCAAUGUGUAAUGUGUACAUUUUGUAAUCAGGACUCACAGAGGUAUUUUAUUGACAGGCUCAAAACAGCCAUAUGAUAAAGAAGGACAUGUGAAACGAGUUAAUGAAAAAUAAACAGCAAGUCAACAA